CGUAGGGAUGGGAAGGUGAAAAGGAAAGAAAAUGGGAAGAACAGCACCGUGGGCUCCAUUUUCCAGAGAAAGUGAGAACCUGGAUCCUGUGAGCAGGAAUAAACACCAUUCAAAGCCUGCCACAAAGUAAGAUCUGCAGAUGGACUUUGCUAAGGCCUCCUAUUAAUCUCCUAACAUUUUAUCAUAAUUAGAUCAUGAAAGCCACCAACUUAGCUGGCCCAUCCUGCUUGCCUGCAUCUUCCUUCUGUAUCAUCAUUCUUUCAUUUAAGACAGACAUUGGGGAAAAGGCAAUGAUGUGUUAAAUUUUUGUGAGCAAAUACUUCAAAUCAGUACUUUGGAAUAUAGUCCAAUAGAUUGUUGUGCUUAUAUGCUGCAUUUUAUACCAGAUAAUAAUACUAAAAAGAUGAUUUCUUCAAGGUGAAUAGGUUUCUGGACAGUUACCUGAUCUUCCUAUAAUCAUUACUGUGGUAAGCCUCUACUUUCAGAAAAGGGAACAACAUUGCAACAUUAAAACCUUUCAAAGUCCAGGCAGGCAGAUUCCCGUGCAUCUAGUCUAACAGCAUCUCUAAACCUCUAAACCUGUGAGCCUCCAGAUUUACUCUGUAUCCUGCACAGACAAGACUGCUGCUGCAGGUAAUUAAAACUAACAGUGAGAUGCCACCGUGUAGCGUGACAUCCUGCGUACAUUUAUGGUCCUGGUGAGGACCCAUCACUCCGAUAAUUACAUUUCACAUUUGGAAACAAAAUCAGAUAUGACUUUGGACAAGAUCAUAAUGAAUUCAUAAAUCUUCAAAAGAGAGAUUUCCCUAGCGAAUCAAAAAUAAUCUGCUUUUUCUAAUCCAAAAGACCAAAAUACCACACAACACUUUUUUAAAUAAAGGUUUUCCUACUUGGGCCUGUUUCUGUGUGCAAGGAUGUAUUACACUAAUCGAACAUGAGGAAGAGUCAGGAUGCCUGAUCAGCACAGAACAAGACACAAACGACUCACUUCUGUUGCGUAUCUGUAUACUUUAAGUGGAUUUUAAAGCUUUUUUAAAUUUUCAGUAGCUUGUUCUGGAAGAGCAUCAUUCUGAUAACACAGCAAUAAUAUAAAGAAACAAAGUAGUUCUUUAAAG